rnacentral:tRNA from 1 species
AUAAAUAUAGUUUAAAAAAAACAUUAUAUUUUCACUAUAAUAAUAAUAAACUAAAAUUAUUUAUUUAUU